rnacentral:misc_RNA from 1 species
ACCAAACCAAACCGAACCGAAAUAGAGUGGUUCAGUUCGAUUCAAAUUUUCAUCCAUUUCGAUUCGGUUCGUUUUCCUUUAAUAUGUAAUUUGAUUUUAUAAUUUAAUUCGAUUUGAUUUGAACCGAACGCUCACCCCUAAUUAUAAUUUAUAAAUAUAAACAUACAUUCAUUUUAUUUAAAUUUUUAUGUUAAGCAUUUACUAAAUAGUUAAAUUGUUAAGCUUGCUAGAGCGACCCUCUGUUUCAAUCUCCAUCCUUUAAUAUGUAAUUUGAUUUUAUAAUUUAAUUCGAUUUGAUUUGAACCGAACGCUCACCCCUAAUUAUAAUUUAUAAAUAUAAACAUACAUUCAUUUUAUUUAAAUUUUUAUGUUAAGCAUUUACUAAAUAGUUAAAUUGUUAAGCUUGCUAGAGCGACCCUCUGUUUCAAUCUCCA